UACGUAGGGGGCAAGCGUUGUCCGGAUUUACUGGGCGUAAAGGGUAUGCAGGCGGCCAAAUAAGUCAGGUGUGAAAUCCUAUAGCUCAACUAUAGUAAGCACUUGAAACUGUAUGGCUUGAGUCAAGGAGAGGAAAGUGGAAUUCCUAGUGUAGUGGUGAAAUACGUAGAUAUUAGGAGGAAUACCAGUGGCGAAGGCGACUUUCUGGACUUGUACUGACGCUGAGGUACGAAAGCACGGGGAGCAAACAGG
rnacentral:rRNA from 1 species